rnacentral:rRNA from 1 species
UACGUAGGUGGCAAGCGUUGUCCGGAUUUACUGGGCGUAAAGAGCGCGCAGGCGGUCGUCCAAGUCGCGUGUGAAAGCCCCCGGCUCAACUGGGGAGGGUCAUUCGAUACUGUUCGACUCGAAGGCAGGAGAGGGAAGUGGAAUUCCCGGUGUAGUGGUGAAAUGCGUAGAUAUCGGGAGGAACACCAGUGGCGAAGGCGACUUCCUGGCCUGUUCUUGACGCUGAGGCGCGAAAGCUAGGGGAGCAAACGGG